ensembl:snRNA U1 U1 spliceosomal RNA
AUACUUACGUACUGGUGGGAGAGAUACCACAAUCACAAAGGUGGUUUUCCCAGGGCGAGGCUUAUCCAUUGUACUCCAGAUAUGCUGACCCCUGUGAUUUCUCCAAAUGUGGAAAACUUGACUGCAUAAUUUGUGGUAGUGGGGGACUACAUUAAUAGUCUCCCCUG